rnacentral:rRNA from 1 species
CAUGAUUUACAUUUGAGUGAGUGGCGAACUGGUGAGUAACACGUGGGAAACCUGCCCAGAAGCGGGGGAUAACACCUGGAAACAGAUGCUAAUACCGCAUAACAACUUGGACCGCAUGGUCCGAGUUUGAAAGAUGGCUUCGGCUAUCACUUUUGGAUGGUCCCGCGGCGUAUUAGCUAGAUGGUGRGGUAACGGCUCACCAUGGCAAUGAUACGUAGCCGACCUGAGAGGGUAAUCGGCCACAUUGGGACUGAGACACGGCCCAAACUCCUACGGGAGGCAGCAGUAGGGAAUCUUCCACAAUGGACGAAAGUCUGAUGGAGCAACGCCGCGUGAGUGAAGAAGGGUUUCGGCUCGUAAAACUCUGUUGUUAAAGAAGAACAUAUCUGAGAGUAACUGUUCAGGUAUUGACGGUAUUUAACCAGAAAGCCACGGCUAACUACGUGCCAGCAGCCGCGGUAAUACGUAGGUGGCAARCGUUGUCCGGAUUUAUUGGGCGUAAAGCGAGCGCAGGCGGUUUUUUAAGUCUGAUGUGAAAGCCUUCGGCUCAACCGAAGAAGUGCAUCGGAAACUGGGAAACUUGAGUGCAGAAGAGGACAGUGGAACUCCAUGUGUAGCGGUGAAAUGCGUAGAUAUAUGGAAGAACACCAGUGGCRAAGGCGGCUGUCUGGUCUGUAACUGACGCUGAGGCUCGAAAGUAUGGGUAGCAAACAGGAUUAGAUACCCUGGUAGUCCAUACCGUAAACGAUGAAUGCUAAGUGUUGGAGGGUUUCCGCCCUUCAGUGCUGCAGCUAACGCAUUAAGCAUUCCGCCUGGGGAGUACGGCCGCAAGGCUGAAACUCAAAGGAAUUGACGGGGGCCCGCACAAGCGGUGGAGCAUGUGGUUUAAUUCGAAGCUACGCGAAGAACCUUACCAGGUCUUGACAUACUAUGCAAAUCUAAGAGAUUAGACGUUCCCUUCGGGGACAUGGAUACAGGUGGUGCAUGGUUGUCGUCAGCUCGUGUCGUGAGAUGUUGGGUUAAGUCCCGCAACGAGCGCAACCCUUAUUAUCAGUUGCCAGCAUUAAGUUGGGCACUCUGGUGARACUGCCGGUGACMAACCGGAGGAAGGUGGGGAUGACG